rnacentral:rRNA from 1 species
AUUGAACGCUGGCGGCAGGCCUAACACAUGCAAGUCGAGCGAGCGGCGGACGGGUGAGUAAUGUCUGGGAAACUGCCUGAUGGAGGGGGAUAACUACUGGAAACGGUAGCUAAUACCGCAUACCAUCAGAUGUGCCCAGGUGGGAUUAGCUGGUAGGUGGGGUAACGGCUCACCUAGGCGACGAUCCCUAGCUGGUCUGAGAGGAUGACCAGCCACAGCGGAAUGGAAGCACGGCCCAGACUCCUAAGGGAGGCAGCAGUGGGGAAUAUUGGACAAUGGGCGGAAGCCUGAUGCAGCCAUGCCGCGUGUGUGAAGAAGGCCUUCGGUUUGUAAAGCACUUUCAGCGGGUAGGCGUUACCCGCAGAAGAAGCACCGGCUAACUCCGUGCCAGCAGCCGCGGUAAUAC